rnacentral:rRNA from 1 species
GAUGAACGCUGGCUGCGUGCCUAAUACAUGCAAGUCGCGCGGACGCACGAGGGUCUUUCGUCUCUGAUGUUAGCGACGGACGGGUGAGUAACACGUGGAUAACCUACCUAUAAUUCUGGGAGAACUUCGGGGAACCGGAGCUGAUACCUGCUAAUAGUUUUAACCUCAUGGUUCACGAUUGAAAGACGGUCUUGCUGUCACUUAUAGAUGGAUCCGCGCUGCUUUAGCUAGUGGGGAAGGUAACGGCUUACCAAGGCAACGAUGCAUAGCCGACCUGAGAGGGUGAGAGGCCCCCCUAGACCUGAGACACGGUCCAGACUCCUACGGGACGCAGCAGUAGGGAAUCUUACACUAUGGGCGAAAGGCUGACGGAGACCAGCCGCGUGAGGGAUGAAGGUCCUCGGAUCGUAAAACUAUGCUAUUAGGGAAGAACAUAUGUGUAAGCAACGGGGCACCUCUUGCAGGUACCUAAUGAGAAAGCCACGGCUAACUACGUG